AAAGAUUUCAUAAAGAAUAAAUAUAUUUUAAUUUCUAAGAUCACCCCAAGUACAAAAACAACCUAAAGAUAUCUAGAGGUAAAAUUAAAGUACAUUAAACAACUUCGAUGUUAAAAUUCCAAAAAAAUUGUAAUUUAUCAAAAAAAAGAAAAGGAGCAGAUAAAAGAACCGGAAGUAGAGUAAGGCUUUUACUGAAUGAACCGGAAGUGCAGUUUUGAUGUUGUCUUAUCUGCCACGAUAGUGUAAGAAAUAGUGUUCUAUUCUAAUGUAAAAGUGGGAAUUAAUAAAUAAGUAUAAAUUAAUCUAUAAAUAAUUAAAUAAACUCUAUCAAGUAUCACUGUUUGUCAAUAUCAUCACACAACACAAUACAAUACCGGUAAAGUAAAAUAACCUUAAUAUCUCACCAUGUCAGGACAAUAUAUCAUAUGUCGCCAUGUCAAAGCUAAUAUGUCACAUGUCACCAUGUCAAAGCUAAUAUGUCAUAUGUCGCCUUGUAAAAACUUGAAUUUAAUAUCACCCUAUCGUACUGCAAUUUAAUUUGUUCCCAAUUUCAUUUUCAAACUUGAAUUAAAAAUGGCAGCUUGUUGAAGCUAACAUUUAAUAUGACGUCAUGUGAAAACUAUAAUUUAAUAUGUUAUCAUCAAACUUGAAUUUAAUAUGUCGCCAUGUUAAAACAUGAAUUUU
rnacentral:lncRNA from 1 species